GCUUUCGUGGUGUAAUUGGAAACAUGUCCGGCUAAUAAUCGGGAGGUUCGGAGUUCGAAUCUCGGCGAAGACG
rnacentral:tRNA from 1 species